GGAAACUUGUAGUUCAGUGGUCGAGUGCAUGCUUUGCCUGAAUGAGGUCCUGGGUUCAAACCCCAGUAUCUCCA